rnacentral:rRNA from 1 species
AUUGAACGCUGGCGGCAGGCCUAACACAUGCAAGUCGAGCGGAGCGGCGGACGGGUGAGUGAUGCCUAGGAAUCUGACUGGUAGUAGUGGAUAACGUCCGGAAACGGACGCUAAUACCGCAUACUAUCAGAUGAGCCUAGGUCGGAUUAGCUAGUUGGUGGGGUAAAGGCCUACCAAGGCGAAGAUCCGUAACUGGGCUGAGCGGAUGAUCAGUCACAAUGGGACUGAGACACGGCCCAGACUCCUACGUGAGGCAGCAGUGGGGAAUAUUGGACAAUGGGCGAAAGCCUGAUCCAGCCAUGCCGCGUGUGUGAAGAAGGUCUUCGGAUUGUAAAGCACUUUUAGUUGGGAAGCGGUACCAACAGAAUAAGCACCGGCUAACUUCGUGCCAGCAGCCGCGGUAAUUC